ACGCGAAGAACCUUACCUGCCCUUGACAUUGACAGAAUCCCGUAGAGAUAUGGGAGUGCUUCGGCCUGGAAAACAGGUGCUGCAUGGCUGUCGUCAGCUUGUGUCGUGAGAUGUUGGGUCAAGUCCCGCAACGAGCGCAACCCUUGUCCCUAGUUGCCUUCACUUCGGGUGGGCACUCUAGGGAGACCGCCGGUGACAAACCGGAGGAAGGUGGGGAUGACGUCAAGUCAUCAUGGCCCUUAUGGGCAGGGCUACACACGUGCUACAAUGGCCGGUACAGAGGGUUGCCAACCCGCGAGGGGGAGCCAAUCCCGAAAAGCCGGUCGUAGUCCGGAUCGGAGUCUGCAACUCGACUCCGUGAAGUCGGAAUCGCUAGUAAUCGCGAAUCAGCAUUGUCGCGGUGAAUACGUUCCCGGGUCUUGUACACACCG
rnacentral:rRNA from 1 species